GAUGAACGCUGGCGGCGUGCUUAACACAUGCAAGUCGAGCGGAAGGGCGCUGCUUUUGCGUGGUGGUCGAGUGGGGAACGGGUGUGUAACCCGUGAGUAUCCUGCCCUUGAAUUUGGGAUAUCUUUAGGGGAAUGGGGAUACUACCGGAUAUGAGAUCCUGAUGCAUGGUGGGCGUUGGACAGAUUCGGCGGUUGGGGAUGGAGUAGCGGCUUAGCAGCUUGUUGGGGGGGUAGUGACUUACCCAGCCUGUGACGGUUAGCCUGCCUGAGAGAGUGGACAGCCACAUGAGUCCUGUGAUACGGGCCAGACUGCUACGUGAGGCAGCAGGGGAGAAAAUUGCACAAAGGCCGGAAGCCUGAUGCAGCAACGCCGCGGGCGUGAAAACCGCUUUCUGGUGGUAAACCGCUUUGUCAGUUAAUGAAGCGUUAUUGACGGUAAUGGAUAAGAAAGCACCGGCUAACUACGUG
rnacentral:rRNA from 1 species